UCCCUUGUUGUGUAACGGUAGCACAAAGGCUUUUGGUGCCUUUAGUUCGGGUUCGAGUCCUGAUGAGGGAA
rnacentral:tRNA from 1 species